GGAAAUGUGCCCGAAAGUUAAGGGCUACUUUGAUAGAGUAGACAAUAGAGGUUCAAACCCCCUCAUUUCCU
rnacentral:tRNA from 1 species